UUGACCACCAAUAGAGCUUAUGCCUAACAGUUCAGUCUAAUACAAGAGUGGUUUGAAGAUGUGCCAAGAAAAUAACCAAGGAGCAUGAGAGAUUGACCGACAAGACUUAUUCUUUCUUGUGCCAUUGUAUGAUGUGAGAGUCACCCUCCAUGUUCACGGUAACGACGAUUAGAUAGACUCGAUAAACCCUGCUGGGAAUUGGAGGUUUGGUAAGCAUCAGAUGAAAAAGGGAUUAAGGAACUGCAGAAUAAAGACAACUUUGUUGUGAGCUAAAAAUGCCCUCAGAGGAAUGUUCACGGUACCCUAGAGGGAGCAAAGAAUUGAAGGUUUCUUCCUUUUGAAAUAAUGGCUAGCUUUAUGGAGAUGGAAAAUAGACUGACAGAUCCUUUUUUUUUUUUUUUUUCCCCUGCUGGAAGAAAAGAAAUGUAAGUGCAAGAUUGGUUUGGUGACAUUCAUUUAACAUGUACUCAUAUAAGUACUCAAUCACUUAUUCAAUAAAUAUAUACUGAGAAUGUACAAGCGAGGUGCUGGUGUAAACUCCGAAGGCGAAGUUAUUAAAACAAUAAAAAAAAGAGCUUAUUCGCAUGUAUCUUUCUUUCUAGAGGGUUAACAAAAAGACAUGAAACGAGAAAAUGGAUAAGGCGAUUUCGGCCGGUAGUAAGUUCCAGGAAAGGCAUAAAUUAAAAGAGUGUAACAUUUGGAACGGUUUUACCUGGAACAGCUAGAAAAAUCUCUCUGAGAAAAUGGACUAAAUGGCAAGAAGGAGCCAGAUGAACAUGUGGGGACAGACCCUUCCACACAAAGGAAUGGUAAGUACAAAGAUCCUGAGGCUGGUGACAUCUUGUUAGAGCAGAGGUCCACUAAAGGCCAGUGAGACCACAGCCCAGUGAGCAAAAGAAAUGCUGUCUGAAACAGAUACAGAGAGUUGGGAAGGGGCUGAACACUAGGGAGAUUUAGGAUUUGAAAAGUUUACAUUUCAAAUUUCAAAAUUUCAAAAAAUUAUUUCAUAAGCUUGCGGCAGGCAACAUAAUGGCCCCAGGAUGUCUGCCUUAAUCCCUUACACUGUAAAUGUGUUACCUUAUGGGACGCAGGGGAAUUAAGAUUGCUAACCAGCUGACCUGAAAAUAGGAAAUUUAUUCUGUGUUAUUCAGGUAGGCCCAAUAUAAUCACAGAGGUCUUUAAAAGUAGAAGCAAAAGGCAGAAGAGUCAGUGUCCGAGAGGUGGAGUUUGGCAAGACUUGGUAUUCCAUUGCUGAGUUGGGAAAUGAAAAGGGAAAAAGAAAAGUCUAGCAAUGCAGAC